rnacentral:rRNA from 1 species
AUUGAACGCUGGCGGCAGGCCUAACACAUGCAAGUCGAGCGAGCGUCGGACGGGUGAGUAAUGUAUGGGGACUGCCCGAUAGAGGGGGAUAACUACUGGAAACGGUAGCUAAUACCGCAUACUCUAGGAUAACACAUAUGGGAUUAGCUAGUAGGUGAGGUAAUGGCUCACCUAGGCAACGAUCUCUAGCUGGUCUGAGAGGAUGCUCAGCCAAACUGGGACUGAGACACGGCCCAGACUCCGACGGAGGCAGCAGUGGGGAAUAUGGCACAAUGGGCGAAAGCCUGAUGCAGCCAUGGCGCGUGUAAGAAGAAGGCCCUAGGGUUGUAAAGUACUUUCAGUCGGGAGGCGUUACCGACAGAAGAAGCACCGGCUAACUCCGUGCCAGCAGCCGCGGUAAUAC